CCUACGGGUGGCUGCAGUGAGGAAUAUUGGUCAAUGGACGAGAGUCUGAACCAGCCAAGCCGCGUGAAGGAUGACUGUCCAAUGGAUCGUAAACCUCUUUUGUCAGGGAAUAAAACGUGGCACGUGUGCCCUGUUGCGUGUACCUUAUGAAUAAGGAUCGGCUAACUCCGUGCCAGCAGCCGCGGUAAUACGGAGGAUCCGAGCGUUAUCCGGAUUUAUUGGGUUUAAAGGGAGCGUAGGCAGGCUUUUAAGUCAGGGGUCAAAGGUCGGGGCUCAACCCCAGGACGGCCGUUGAGACUGGCAGUCGCGAGUUGGAGAGAGGUAGGCGGAAUGCGUGGUGUAGCGGUGAAAUGCAUAGAUAUCGCGCAGAACUCCGAUUGCGAAGGCAGCAUGC
rnacentral:rRNA from 1 species